AAUGGACCGAGUGUCCCUCCGAGCAACCGAGCAUGGGCUCAGUCAAGAGAAAGCUAGAAAAAUAAACAGGCCCAAAACGUGCAAGAGAAGGCAUAAAAUUUCUGUGGGCCGUGGGAUGCUCGCGAGCGAUUCAACGAAACUCAUCCAUUUCCGGUCGCUACCUGGAACGCCAUCGCCAGCAUCUUCCUCGACAACCAAGAAACGCAGGCGGUCGUCAUCACCACCCAGCUUCGCAAGCUCGAGCAAGGCGCCCUGUCGAUGCACGACUACUUCGCCCGGCUCAAGGACCUCGCCAACUAGCUUCACGACCUCGGCAGCCCCAUCACCGACCGCGACCUCGUCCUCGCCAUGUUCCAGGGCCUUAACCCGCGGUACAACUACGCCGUCUCGAUCCUCACCUCCAUGUCGCCGUUUCCCUCCUUCCUCCGCUGCAGGGCGUUCCUUGUCCUGGAGGAGCUUCGUGAGGGCACCCCAACACGCUCCACCGACACAGCCCAGCACGCUGCGCCUGUCCAUCACGGGGGCGGCACCGGCGGCGCCCACAACACCGGGAACGGCAACUCCCGCAACAAGGGCAAGGGGAAGCAGCAGGGGCGGCCGCAGACCAAGACCACCGGCGGGGGCUCCUCCACAUCGACCGCUCCUCCUCUCGCCAGUCCGCGUCGACCCUGCCGGCUCCAGGAACCAACCCGUGGACUAGACUGGUUCACGCCUGGCCUGUCCCCUGGCGUCCCCACGCUCCAGGCGCCGGCGUCCUCGGCCCGCGCCCCAUCGCUCUGCCGAUGCCCAACUUCGCCGGUCUGCACUACGCGCUGCCCCCUCCGCCUCCUGUCCCGACCGCCGCGCCAGCCUGGGAUCAGACGGCUCUCAUCCGGGCUCUGAACACCAUGUCGGCGUCCUCGUCCUCAUCCCCGGCGCCCGGCGAAUGGUACAUGGACACUGGGGCGAGCACGCACAUGUCUUCAUCCCCUGGAUAUCCUCGUUCCCCCCUCCCUUGUCAAGAACCUCAUCUCUGUCAACCGUCUAGUUCGUCGUCAGAACCCGGUUUCCGUUGAAUUUGAUGAUCUUGGUUUUUCUGUCAAGGAUCGGCACACUCGCCAGGUGAUUCUCCGCAGUGAUGACACCGGCGACGACCUGUAUCUGCUCGCGCCGCGCCCACCCAUCAGCCUCCAAGCUUCUGCUACCGCCGAUGAUUGGCAUGCCCGCCUCGGACAUCCUGGACGCUCGUCGCUCGCCCGUCUUCUCCGCACUGCAUCACCGGCCACACCUCGUCGCUCUGCGCAUACUUGUCACUCGUGUCAGCUAGGAAAAAAUGUUCGGUUUCCAUUUUCAGACUCAGUUCAUGUUUCGUUUGUGCCUUUUCAUCUUGUUCACUGUGAUGUAUGGACCUCGCCGGUCCCUAGUUUGUCCGGCUUUACCUACUAUCUUGUUGUUCUUGAUGAUUACAGUCACUUUGUUUGGUCUUUUCCCUUACGACAACACUUUACGCCA